GAUGAACGCUGGCGGCGUGCCUAAUACAUGCAAGUCGAGCGAACAGACGAGGAGCUUGCUCCUCUGACGUUAGCGGCGGACGGGUGAGUAACACGUGGAUACCCUACCUAUAAGACUGGGAUAACUUCGGGAAACCGGAGCUAAUACCGGAUAAUAUAUUGAACCGCAUGGUUCAAUAGUGAAAGACGGUUUUGCUGUCACUUAUAGAUGGAUCCGCGCCGCAUUAGCUAGUUGGUAAGGUAACGGCUUACCAAGGCAACGAUGCGUAGCCGACCUGAGAGGGUGAUCGGCCACACUGGAACUGAGACACGGUCCAGACUCCUACGGGAGGCAGCAGUAGGGAAUCUUCCGCAAUGGGCGAAAGCUUGACGGAGCAACGCCGCGUGAGUGAUGAAGGUCUUCGGAUCGUAAAACUCUGUUAUUAGUGAAGAACAAAUGUGUAAGUAACUAUGCACGUCUUGACGGUACCUAAUCAGAAAGCCACGGCUAACUACGUG
rnacentral:rRNA from 1 species